GACGAAGGUGGCGCGCGUUGUUCGGAAUCGCUGGGCGUAAAGCGCACGACGGCGGCGCGUUAAGUCAGGGGUGAAAUCCUGGAGCUCAACUCCAGAACUGCCUUUGAUUCUGGCGUGCUCGAGUGUGGGAGAGGUUGGUGGAACUCCGAGUGUCGAGGUCAAAUUCGUAGAGAUUCGGAAGAACACCAGUGGCGAAGGCGGCCAACUGGCCCAUUACUGACGCUGAGGUGCGAAAGAGUGGGGUGCAAACAGG
rnacentral:rRNA from 1 species